CCCCCCCCGAGAGCGCAGCCAGGGUGCCUGGUUCUUCUGCGAGUGCUCAGCAUCGGGCACUGGGACAAGUGUCGCCCAGGCUGCGGCCGAGGCCCUCAGUGUGUCCUGCAUGUGCCCCAACCUCAAGGGUGACCUUGAUCCUAGACCUUGGCCCCGCCUUGGCCUGCAACCAGGCACAGCACUGGGCCCAGACGCUUUGACUGCGCAGGAGGCGGGGCUCAGCCAGGCUCUGAGGCCUCUUUGUUCAGGGGCUCCCCAGGGCCCAGCUCAGCCGCCCACACAAGCAUGCAGGGGCCUCCCUGACCCUGGCCCUGGAAAAGGACCUGCCUCACCACCAACCAGCAGCCAGACCUGGGCUGCCAGGCCAGGAGGCCAGGCCUCUGAUGGUGCCCCCCCAGGGCACCUGCCGGAUCCCACUGCAAGUCUGCAGCCCUGCCCUGCAGUCCUCGAAGGGCCUAUUUUCCGGUGAAGAGAUGGAGACUCCGGGAGACCACAGGCUUGCAAGGGACGGCAAACCCGAGAACUGGAAGGCCCCCAAUUCCCAGGAGCUCAAAUGAUACGCCUGAGAAAACCACGGGGAUUAUGGAAGGAUACUUCCGUUUGUUUUGGAAGGCAAGGCUGCACGCUGGGAACUCUGCAGGAGGUCUCGACAAUAUCAACAACAUGAUAAACCAAGUUCUCAUCUGUAGCAUCUGCCAAAGUGCAUAAGAGAAAAACUCUGAGAGAUCCUGAUUUAAUUCAAGGGCUGGAGGAGGAGGUGGGGAGAUGAGGACAGCUCCCGCAUCCUGAACGUGACCCGAGGCUGGACGCAAAUCCCAGGCGCUGAGUCCCCCCAGAGCUGAGGCCCCCCGGCACUGAGUCCCCCCAAUACCGAGUCCCCCCAGCACCACGGCGUCCUGCUUACAGCACCAAGCAACCCAGAGGCGGCAAGAACGUCUUCUGGCCCUGCUCCUGUCCUGUGGGUCUCCGGCUCCACCUGCUCUGCCCUCUUCCUGGUUCUGUGUGCACGACUUACACGUUCCUGACCCACGUUUCCCUGGAAGGAUGCUCCUGACUUAUGGGCUGAUUUCCAGCUACAAUCUAGUCCUGCCGCUGCUAGUCUGGGGGACCGUCCCUUUUCUGACUGUCAGAUGAGACCCUUCCUGUAUGGGAAGGGCCCAGACUGGGCCACACACUCUCUACUCACCAUCAGGCCUGGGCCUUCCCUUCUCCUGUGCUCCUGCCCCUCAUGUCCACACCCAGGACCAGGCUAAGGAAGGGCCAGGAGAAGCGGCUGUUGUGGGGUGCUAUGGUUUGAUGUGGUCUGUUCUCACCGACUCAUGGGCUCAGUUGCCCAAUGUAACGCAUUAAGAGCUCAUAGAACCUUGAAGAGGAGGGGCCGAGUGAGACACAAUUAGGUCACUGGGAUCCAUGCCCAUUUUGGGUGUUCAGAUUAGGGCUCCAGGAACUAGUUCAGUUCUCACCACUCUUCUGCUGUGUAGUACCAUCUGCCAUGUUAUGAUGCAGCACAAGGCCCUUGUCACAUGUGGCCAUACCAUCUUAGAAUUUUCACCUCCGGAACUCUGAGCUAAAUAAAACUCUUCUCUUUAUAA